AUUUAAGUAGCUUAUUUAGAGCAUAAUAUUGAAGAUAUUAAGGUAAUUUUCAAAAUUUUUAAAUA
rnacentral:tRNA from 1 species